UGUUGGGGUGGAUGAAAAUCUUCAU
rnacentral:piRNA from 1 species